CCUACGGGUGGCAGCAGUGGGGGAUAUUGCACAAUGGGGGAAACCCUGAUGCAGCGACGCCGCGUGGGUGAAGAAGCGCCUCGGCGCGUAAAGCCCUGUCAGCAGGGAAGAAAAUGACGGUACCUGAAGAAGAAGCCCCGGCUAACUACGUGCCAGCAGCCGCGGCAAUACGUAGGGGGCAAGCGUGAUCCGGAGUUACUGGGUGUAAAGGGGGCGCAGACGGGGAUGCAAGCCAGGAGUGAAAGCCCGGGGCCCAACCCCGGGACUGCGCUUGGAACUGCGUGGCUAGAGUGCAGGAGGGGCAGGCGGAAUGCCUGGUGUAGCGGUGAAAUGCGUAGAUAUCAGGAGGAACACCGGUGGCGAAGGCGGCCUGCUGGACUGCAACUGACGUUGAGGCCCGAAAGCGUGGGGAGCAAACAGGAUUAGAUACCCCGGUAGUC
rnacentral:rRNA from 1 species